rnacentral:rRNA from 1 species
UAAUACGUAGGGGGCAAGCGUUGUCCGGAAUUAUUGGGCGUAAAGAGCGUGUAGGCGGCCAGGUAGGUCUGCUGUGAAAACUCGAGGCUCAACCUCGAGCUGUCGGUGGAAACCAUCUGGCUAGAGUCCGGAAGAGGAGAAUGGAAUUCCUGGUGUAGCGGUGAAAUGCGCAGAUAUCAGGAAGAACACCCGUGGCGAAGGCGGUUCUCUGGGACGGUACUGACGCUGAGACGCGAAAGCGUGGGGAGCAAACAGGAUUAGAUACCCUGGUAGUCCACGCCGUAAACGAUGGGUGCUAGGUGUGGGCGGUGUCAACUCCGUCCGUGCCGAAGCUAACGCAUUAAGCACCCCGCCUGGGGAGUACGGCCGCAAGGCUA